AUCGAACGCUGGCGGCAUGCUUUACACAUGCAAGUCGGACGAGUGGCGGACGGGUGAGUAAUGCUUGGGAAUCUGGCUUACGGAGCGGGAUAACGACGGGAAACUGUCGCUAAUACCGCGUACCAUAGGAUGAGCUCACGUGGGAUUAGGUAGUUGGUGGGGUAAAGGCCUACCAAGCUGACGAUCUCUAGCUGGUCUGAGAGGAUGACCAGCCACACCGGGACUGAGAAACGGCCCGGACUCCUACGGGAGGCAGCAGUGGGGAAUGUUGCGCAAUGGGGGAAAGCCUGACGGAGCCAUGCAGCGUGAAUGAAGAAGGCCUUCGGAUUGUAAAGUUCUGUCGGUAGUGAGGCGUUAAAUACAGAAGAAGCACCGGCUAACUCCGUGCCAGCAGCCGCGGUAAUAC
rnacentral:rRNA from 1 species